CCUACGGGGUGCUGCAGUGAGGAAUAUUGGUCAAUGGCCGCAGGGCUGAACCAGCCAAGUCGCGUGAGGGAUGACGGUCCUAUGGAUUGUAAACCUCUUUUGUCAGGGAGCAAAGGGCGCCACGUGUGGCGCUUUGCGAGUACCUGAAGAAAAAGCAUCGGCUAACUCCGUGCCAGCAGCCGCGGUAAUACGGUGGAUGCGAGCGUUAUCCGGAUUUAUUGGGUUUAAAGGGUGCGCAGGCGGAAUGUCAAGUCAGCGGUAAAAUUUCGGGGCUCAACCCCGUCGUGCCGUUGAAACUGGCGUUCUUGAGUGAGCGAGAAGUAUGCGGAAUGCGUGGUGUAGCGGUGAAAUGCAUAGAUAUCACGCAGAACUCCGAUUGCGAAGGCAGCAUACCGGCGCUCAACUGACGCUCAUGCACGAAAGCGUGGGUAUCGAACAGGAUUAGAUACCCGGGUAGUC
rnacentral:rRNA from 1 species